rnacentral:rRNA from 1 species
AUGCAAAGGAUCUCGAUCUACGUGGAUGACGUAGCUUUGUUCAUCAAAUCUACUGUCAUGGAUUUGAGCUUUGUGAAGGAGACCUUAAAGGCUUUUGGUGAAGCAUCUGGACUUAAAGUGAACCAUCGGAAGUCGUCGGCUAUUGUGAUUAGAGGCGAUGUGGAUGACAGACAAAGGGUGGCUGCACUGCUCCAAUGUGACCUAGCGGAGUUCCCAUGCAGGUAUCUUAGCCUGCAGCUUGCUGUCAAGAUCUUGACUCGCGCGGAUUGGCAGCCCAUGUUGGAUAAAGUGAGGUAUUUCGUGCCCGCCUGGCAAAGGGGGCUGAUCCAACGACCUGGCAGGUUGAUCCUGGUGCAAUCUAUCAUAUCUGCUCGGCCGAUACACCAUCUAAUGAUUGUGGACGCCCCGGUCUGGGUGAUUGAAAAGAUCAAUAAGUGGAUGCGAUCUUUCUUUUAG